rnacentral:rRNA from 1 species
UACGGGGGGAGCAAGCGUUGUUCGGAUUUACUGGGCGUAAAGGGCGCGUAGGCGGCCAGCACAAGUCAGUUGUGAAAUCUCCGAGCUUAACUCGGAAAGGUCAACUGAUACUGUGCGGCUAGAGUGCGGAAGGGGCAACUGGAAUUCCUGGUGUAGCGGUGGAAUGCGCAGAUAUCAGGAGGAACACCGAUGGCGAAGGCAGGUCACUGGGCCGCAACUGACGCUGAGGAGCGAAAGCAUGGGGAGCGAACAGG